rnacentral:rRNA from 1 species
AACGAACGCUGGCGGCAGGCUUAACACAUGCAAGUCGAACGCAUCCUUCGGGGUCAGUGGCAGACGGGUGAGUAACGCGUGGCAACGUGCCCUUCAGUUCGGGAUAACCCAGGGAACCUUGGGCUACUACCGGAUACGUGCGAGAGCAGAAAGAUUUAUCGCUGAAGGAUCGGCCCGCGUCUGAGUAGCGCGUUGGUGGGGUAAUGGCCGGCCAAGGCGACGGUCAGUAGCUGGUCUGAGAGGAUGAUCAGCCACAUUGGGACUGAGACACGGCCCAAGCUGCUACGGGAGGCAGCAGUGGGGAGUAUUGGACAAGGGGCGCAGGCGCGAUCCAGGCAUGCCGCGUGAGUGAUGAAGGCCUUAGGGUUGUAAAGCUCUUUCGUCCGGGACUAUAGUGACGGUACCGGAAGAAGAAGCCCCGGCUAACUUCGUGCCAGCAGCCGCAGUAA